rnacentral:lncRNA from 1 species
UACAAGUUUGACCUGAAUGUAAACCAAUCUUUACAGAAAGCCGAUCUGUCAUGGUAUGGUGCUCGUAUUGUUAUGUCACCACAACAGCCAUAAGUCCCAGAUAACCGGAAAUAACAACAGUAAACUGGACACCAUCUUGAGUCAUGUGUCCGGCGGCCAUACAAAAAACUUCGGUAACGGCAACAUUCACCAGCUUCAGUUGGUGUUG